GAGGGUGUAGUUCAGUGGUAGGGUGUGUGCCUAGCAUGAACGAGGUCCUGGGUUCAAUCCCCAGUACCUCCA
rnacentral:tRNA from 1 species